rnacentral:lncRNA from 1 species
GUACAGUCUUUGCCUCACCCACCUCACAUAGAGUAAGAGUGGUCAAUAUUGUCUCCCCUGGAUGUAGAUGGCCUUGGAUCUAGCUGACCUUUGCUGUAGUCUGAUGUAGUGGUUGGUUAUCUGGUAGUGAUGCAGGAACUUGGAUCUCUGCCACCAGGAGUUUGAGUCGGAACGGAAUGACGGGCACACUUAGAGCAGUCUCCAUCAUAACAAGCCACAGUCGCAUCCAGGACACUUGUGUGAAAUAGCAGUGAGGCGGAAUGGCUACAAAACAUAGACUUUAGAAGAGAAGUCCUGUGUUCUGCAUACUGUAGUGAGGUUGAUACUGGUUACUGAACGAUAUGGUGUACAGAAGUUUGGAUUGUUUUGGCUGGAUAGUUUGUAUAGUAUGGUGAAACUAGAGGAUGAAAGCUCACAUACAAGUAGCAAGUCCUCAGUUUCUAGUUAGGAUGAGUUGACAGUGUUUGUGCAAGAGAAUGACAUGUCAACAGUUAUGAUUGGUCAGUGUCAUCUGAACGUGUCUAGCACCACAGUCCAUAGAGUACAGAAACUUCUCACUGCUGCAUACAACUGUGACUAUGAGCCUUACUCAAAACCCCAUGAAGAACAAAUCUCAACAAUCUACAGUAUUACAUCCGCUGUUUGGUCUGCAGAUAACAAGUCAGCGGUUUGACCUCCAGAUCACAUUAACGGUGUACCCUCGUAAAUUGGUACAGCUUGUGAGCAAGAAAGCAGGUCCGUCUAACAACCUACUGCAUCACUGCCACUUACACACUCAGAUGAAGAUGGACAGAAGAAGAGUGUUAUACCAAUAUUUUCAUGUCCAUGUAACACAAAUGGUAUGCAUACAGUUGAUUGGUUGAUUAGAGAGAACGCUUCCAGGUUGGAGGAAGUUGAAAAUGACUGCCUAGUGUUUACUUACCAGUUACCUCGGAAAUAUGUUCCAAGUUCAAGAGUGGUGAAUCUGUGAUUGGCUACCUCCACACUGAGAUGACUAGACUGCUUCAAAAGUUGAUAGGGUGCUUCACAACCACGAAAAUCAUCUGUGAUGCAACAGAUCUCACCAAGGUACUCUUCCAGGUCUGGUACCCUUCCAGGUCUGGGACAACCAACAUGAUGAUUAGAGAAUAGUUGGUGGCUGGCGUGUUAGAGAAUACCGAGACAACAAUGAUGUAUCCCCAGAGAUAACAAAGAAAUUCUUCAGGUUGUUGAUUCUUUAGAGAUAAGUGAUGUGCGGGUCUUCUAUGAGAAUAUGGUAGUUACUAUGGUUCAAAGAUGCUACCCUUCAGUCACUGAGCUUCCAGAAACCAAACCUAAGGGAUACUGUCUCACCUGAAGAAGUUGCCAUCUGUUUGUCUGGUUUAUCAGUGGUUCUUCUUACUCUCGGGACUGAACUGCCCAAACCAGAUCAUAUAGAGACAUACUGGGUAUAUCGGGGGAAAUGAAGCUCCACACUGGAAAGAAGGGGUGUCUUAAACUGAGUAAGAUGGCUUUACUUCUCCUGUCACUACCGCACUGCAAUUCUGAUCCAGAGCCGUCCUUCAGCAUACUGAGGAAGAUACAGGCUGAUAGCAGGAGCAACCUAGCUCUGGAAACCAUUCAGAACUUGAUGUCUGUGAAAAUGAAAAAUCACUCUAUAUGUUAACAUUCUCUUCAUCUCAUGAACUUAUUAGAGAGGGAAAGUCAGCGUGUAAUGUAUACUCUCGUAAGUGAAGACCGCAUAAAUGAUGUGUUACUUGUUGAAAUACGAAACUGUGCUUUCAGUAUUUUUAUAAAGUGUCUAUGGUUAAGUGGAGACAACUCUAUUGAUUUGUAUUCAUUGUGAUGGUAAGAGGACAUCAGUUAUGAAACAGAAAUGUGAUACUGAUUAUGUCAUAUAUAUUGUAUUGUUAAAAUAGUAUAAUGUAUUGUGUUAGUAUUUUGAAGUGAAUAUAUUUUAAAGUAGAAUAAAAGAUAAUAUAAA